rnacentral:snRNA from 1 species
AAUUGAGAGCAAGCUGUCUGUGGCAUCUGUCAACCCCAGUGACUGCCAGAAUUGGUUUGGUAAAUCUGCCCUGCUGGGAAGGUGUCCCCUUUCUUCCUGGCUCUGCUACAUGUGUCUCUCCCAAAGCUGUAUAUGCUUUGUUGAAGAGGGUGAUUUUCCUAGAGAGAGGAGGACAAGGAUGUACGCAAGUCAAGUUCUCCUAUUGGACUGUCCAGGGCUCAGUAAGUAGGCUAUCCCACCUGGCUGUGACACUCCCACUAUAUAAUGAGCCACCUGAAGGUGAAGAUAUCAUCUUUGUGU